UCGAGGAUCUUCGGCAAUGGGCGCAAGCCUGACCGAGCGACGCCGCGUGUGCGAUGAAGGCCUUCGGGUUGUAAAGCACUGUCGAGGGGGAGAAAAGCCCGCAAGGGCCUGAUCUAUCCCUGGAGGAAGCACGGGCUAAGUUCGUGCCAGCAGCCGCGGUAAGACGAACCGUGCGAACGUUGUUCGGAAUCACUGGGCUUAAAGGGCGCGUAGGCGGGUCCCCAAGUCAGGGGUGAAAUACUCCGGCUCAACCGGAGCAGUGCUUCUGAUACUGGGGACCUCGAGGGGUGCAGGGGCAUGUGGAACUUCCGGUGGAGCGGUGAAAUGCGUAGAUAUCGGAAGGAACGCCGGUGGCGAAAGCGACGUGCUGGACACCUUCUGACGCUGAGGCGCGAAAGCCAGGGGAGCAAACGG
rnacentral:rRNA from 1 species